CAGAUUUGCUUAUGGUUCACGCUGGAUGGACAGAUGAGGACACAGUGUGCCUAGUGAGCAGGCUGCCCAUUCCUGCCUGCUGGGCUUGCGCUCUUGUGGUUUAUAAUGUCUCCUUGAGUGAAUAAUAAGCUCUCAUUCAUGCCAGACCUUUUGGUCUUUGCUGAUGACCUACAGAGACUGGUAGCCUGAGAUCUCAAAUUCAACAGCAGGCCUUUUAAGCCUGGUCAAUCAAUCAGGCCACACAAAGCCACAGAAAGUACAAGCUGCUGAUGCAGAAGGAUCUAAGCACCCAGAGGAACACACCACUUGCCUCUAUCUGAAAAAGUUGGCCUGGAAAGGUGAAACCCUCGUAAUGAAAAAGAAAAAUACUACUGGCCCCACCAUCAAACUACCUGUGAGAUAUGUAGAGCACAGACGCAGCCUGGGCUCUGCUGAAUCCUGUCUCUGCCUCCCAAGGUUGGAAGGAGAAAGACACCAGGCCAAGCAGGAGCAUGAUUUCAGACAGCAAACCAUGAAGUGGCAAUUACAGAGUAAAAGCUUAAUUAUAGUGCUUCA